GUCUAAUACCGGAUAUGAGCCUGGGAGGCAUCUCCCGGGUUGUAAAGCUCCGGCGGUGAAGGAUGAGCCCGCGGCCUAUCAGCUUGUUGGUGAGGUAAUGGCUCACCAAGGCGACGACGGGUAGCCGGCCUGAGAGGGCGACCGGCCACACUGGGACUGAGACACGGCCCAGACUCCUACGGGAGGCAGCAGUGGGGAAUAUUGCACAAUGGGCGAAAGCCUGAUGCAGCGACGCCGCGUGAGGGAUGACGGCCUUCGGGUUGUAAACCUCUUUCAGCAGGGAAGAAGCGCAAGUGACGGUACCUGCAGAAGAAGCGCCGGCUAACUACGUGCCAGCAGCCGCGGUAAUACGUAGGGCGCAAGCGUUGUCCGGAAUUAUUGGGCGUAAAGAGCUCGUAGGCGGCUUGUCACGUCGAUUGUGAAAGCCCGAGGCUUAACCUCGGGUCUGCAGUCGAUACGGGCUAGCUAGAGUGUGGUAGGGGAGAUCGGAAUUCCUGGUGUAGCGGUGAAAUGCGCAGAUAUCAGGAGGAACACCGGUGGCGAAGGCGGAUCUCUGGGCCAUUACUGACGCUGAGGAGCGAAAGCGUGGGGAGCGAACAGGAUUAGAUACCCUGGUAGUCCACGCCGUAAACGGUGGGAACUAGGUGUUGGCGACAUUCCACGUCGUCGGUGCCGCAGCUAACGCAUUAAGUUCCCCGCCUGGGGAGUACGGCCGCAAGGCUAAAACUCA
rnacentral:rRNA from 1 species